GUUGUGGCCAUCAUUAAGAGUAUUCUGCCUCUGAAGUAUUUUUUUUUCUUGUAUAUUAGUGUUUUGAUUCUUGGGGCGCUUGACAAGCGCUUCACAAAUUAAGUUCUUGUUAACAAUUUCAGAGGUGGAGGCUGGCCUGCAGCUCGUGUGCGUGAAAGAGAAGCACACUUCAUUGAGAAGUUUUUGCCGCUAUCCUCGGUGGCACCGCCAGUGACCAAACUUGGUGUGGACAACAUGCUGGAGAGAGAAUGUUCAUCCCUAUGAUCCCUUUGGCGCCCUCGGAGGACAUUUCGCUUCCUUUCAAAUUGAAGAGGAAACAAUUCCCUGGAUGGAUCCUGGAAAGCCUCUUCCGGAACCAAGUCCCCUCCCCACUCGGAGUCCUCCGCCGCUGACGCAUGGGUAAGCGCAAGAGCUGUAGCCCGUCCACACGGUUUAGCGAGCUGCCGCCAUCGUAGAUAACCAAGACAUACACGGAAAUAAGCAAGAUUCAGUGCGCCGCCCUGCCCCCACGCGUUAUGAGGGUGCGACGUCCUCGACGUGUCCAAGACAGGGUCCAGGAAGACCCUCUCCUUCGUGAUCCCGAUAGGCCCAAUCUUCCUCGACGAGGGGUUGUGAUGGCGGGCACAGCGUUGCUGGAUGACGCUGAGAGUAUAGUGGGUGGGUUCAAGUACAUCCCUCUGUGCCAGCAUGCAGCGGGUCUGCCGACAGGGAGAGCCAGGAAGAGAAUGUAGUCCGCGGCAGCUGAGCGGGAAGGGGGGCAGCUUGCCGUGAUUGAAGAACAUGACGACCAUGCUGAUACAAGGUCAGUGAUGUAGACAGGGAAGAUGGACCCUCAUGCCCCUGGGUGGACGAAGAG
rnacentral:rRNA from 1 species